rnacentral:ribozyme from 1 species
AACAUGUCCUCGAUACCUUGUUGGCAAAUGUGGACCAACCGACGGAAACUCGCUCUUCCACAUCGAAUGGGGAUCGGGCGAGAACACACG